rnacentral:lncRNA from 1 species
CACACAAUACAUGUUUGGUGAGACACCGGCAUCCUCAUACAUCUCUCUUGUUUAAGUUUUCUCUCCUUGUUUGUUGGUUUCUUUGCUAAAACAAUAUGACAGCAAGUCAUCAGGCAGAAAUAAAAUCACCAUUGGUAUUAAUAAAGAGAUUUCGAGAAAGUAAAAAUACGUCAAAUAGGAGAAGCUUACAUGCCAUCUUGAAAUUCCUAGAAACCGAGUGACAUCCGAUGCAUGACCAACAUACACCGGAAAGAAUACAAACCUGCAUGUUCUGUACACUCUCCUGAGUUGAAUCCUGAAUUAAGUAUGACAAUGGGACAACUCAAGAUAUA